GCCCCGGAGGCGUUCCUAGACGGACGGUACAUUUACCUGAACUCAUCACCUUCCCACCCCCAUCCCAUCGACUCUGUGCUGUAUCCUGAACCGGCUGACAGAACAAUGAUGUAGACUUGACUUGUUUUCGCCAACCUGGAAUGAAGCAAAGCUCUUGUGCACCCAAGAUCUGCUCUCUGUUGUAAAUCCUGUUCAGACCUGGUCUAAUUGGUUUGAAUAAAUAAAGAACCGGAAUCUUUCUCAUCCAAACUAGUUGCCAGCAUAUUUUUAAGGCCACCUCCCUUCAAAUUUAAAAGGAAGUGUUGAAUGUACUGUCACUAUAAAUUAA
rnacentral:lncRNA from 1 species